GCCAGGCAUGGUGGCACGUGCCUGUAGUCCCAGCUACUCAGGAGGCUGAGGUAGGAGGAUCCCUUGAGCCCAGGAGUUCGAGGCUGCAGUGAGCCAUGAUCACGCCACUGCAGUCCAGCCCGGGCAACAGAGUGAGACCAUGUCUCAA
ensembl:misc_RNA Metazoa_SRP Metazoan signal recognition particle RNA